rnacentral:rRNA from 1 species
CCCCUAGACGUUCUGGGCUGCACGCGCGCUACAAUAAUACGCACAGCGAGUAUCACCGAGCUCGAAAGGGCAAGGUAAACAAUAGAAAAGGUACUGUAAUGGUUAUAGAUCCUUGUAAUUAUUGAUCUUCAACGAGGAAUUCCUAGUAAGUAUGUGUCAUCAUCACGCACUGAUUACGUCCCUGCCCUUUGUACACACCGCCCGUCGCACCAAUCGAUUGAGGUAUCUGGUGAAAAUGCAGGAAACCUCUGUGGCAUGCUUCAUUGCAAGCCGUAGAAGAUGAAUGCAUUUAAACCAGGCGCCUUAGAGAAUGGUGAAGUCGUAACA